UCUAAGAUUUGGCAGCCAUGUAUUAAAAUUUUCAAUUCUUGAAUACAUGCCACAAUUUGUAUAUAAAAAGGAACUUAUUUGCUUCUCAUUAAGGGUAUUCAAAAUAGGGUCGAAAAACACCUACCAACAAUAGAAAAAAUGAUCAAAAAAACAAAUUCAAAAAUCGUCUAAAAGGGCAUCCAUCAAAAUAGUAUUAAUAAAGAACAAAAUAACACAAAACACAAUACACUUCAAGAAUUUAGAGCUCAAAAAUUAUUUCAUCUUCUUGUCCUAUUUUUUUUAGUUUUUGAAUUUGAGUUCGAGGAAGUGCGAAGUUGACAUCUUUUGACGCAAAAGCUUUCGUUUGCAUGCCAACACAAGAAAUAGGUAAUCAGGAUCAUCAAUAGACACUUCGUUGAUACCACUUGCAGUCCCAAAGUUGUUUGGUCAGCCCACUUGCUUUUAGUGGAUCCCUCAAAUAUUUGUAUGAUUUCAAUUUCUUUUAGGAUGAUUGAAGGUCUUGUCCUGAUAUCCGUGAUAACAUUAGAAGCUUCAUACAAAGAAAGUAGUAGUUGAGAAGUUUGUUUCAUUUCCUAUUUUUUAAUGUUUUAGACUUGAGUUGCCCUUGUGGUCAGUUUGAAUAUUUUUAAAUGUUCUAAGCUAUGUAUUUGAUACAUUCAUGUUAAAACUUUAUAUUUGAGUUUAUAGUAAGUCUUCCGCUAAGAUAUGAGCUAGGCCAAGGGUUCACUAGAUGAAGCCAAUUGUUCUCUAGUGUCGUCCAUGUCAAGGAUGUAGGCUCGGAGUGUGAUAUUUUUUUUUGUAAUGCCAAACAACUUAAUUAA